rnacentral:snoRNA from 1 species
UGUAAUCAAUGAUGAUGAUUCUGUAUAAUUGCCUGAUAAUAUAUGAGGGCAAUUCUAGUCACUACCUCAUCUGAGAUAACA